CUGAGAGAAUGUUGGGCUUCUAAGACAUCUCCGUUUGGAAGUUUGUCUUCUUCUUGGCACAAAAUGGCAUGCUGGGCAAAGAACUGCCCUUGCCUCAACUGCUGACCGUAUGCACAUAGUCCUUUCUGGACGAGCAGGACACAAGGAAAAGUGACUGCUGAAACUUGCCAAGACAGGGUCCAACUUCUGGCUGUCACUGCCUGUGCAUGAGUCAAAGCAGAAUAAGUUUUAUGUACAAGAGCGCACACGGACAAAGACAUUGCAGCAAAGCUGACUGGGGCUAGCACAGGAGGGUAGUAUGAAGCACACACCUAUGAUAUCUCCCUCAAUUUCUGUAACUCUUUCCCCACUGAUCCUGAGGGUAUUGUAUGAGUCAUUCCAAAACUAAAUCCAUAACCAUUCAUGAAAA